rnacentral:rRNA from 1 species
AUCAAAGUUGUUGCGGUUAAAAAGCUCGUAGUUGGAUUUCCCGGGGCUUAAGGGGUGGGAUGUGGUCAUUUGAACUGCGGCCGUUCCUUUUCCGGUGGCGGUCUGCGGAAUUUUUCCGUGGGGCGCAUGUACUUUGAACAAAUUAGAGUGCUCAAGACAGGCGAUUUUUUAUUGCUGUGAAUAGAUUAGCAUGGAAUACGGGUAUAAACUCUCUUCUCGGGAUUGUUGUUUUGACGAGGAGGGGGAAUGAUGGAUAGGGACAGGUGUGGGCAUUGAGAUUGUUACGUCAGAGGUGAAAUUCUUAGAUCGUAGCAGGAUUAGCAGACGCGAAAGCAUUUGUCAAGGAUGUUUUCAUUGAUCAAGAACGAAAGUUGGGGGAUCGAAGACGAUUAGAUACCGUCGUAGUCUCAACCAUAAACGAUGCCAGCUAGGGAUUGGAGGGGGCACGAGGCUUUCUCACUACUUUUUCAGCACCUUUACGAGAAAUCCAAAGCGUUUGGGUUCCGGGGGAAGUAUGGUCGCAAGGCUGAAACUUUAAGGAAUUGACGGAAGGGCACCACCAGGAGUGGAGCCUGCGGCUUAAUUUGACCCAACACGGGAAAACUUACCAGGCCCAGACAUAAAAAGGAUUGACAGAUUGAAAGCUCUUUCUUGAUCUUAUGGAUGGUGGUGCAUGGCCGUUCUUAGUUCGUGGAGUGAUUUGUCUGCUUGAUUGCGAUAACGGACGAGACCUUGUGUGGAUGUUGCUGGGCCCAAGAUAUUUUGUUGUUGGGACCCGGGACCUUCUGCGACUGCUGUAUGUGUUUUAACCAGAGGAAGUUCUAGGCUAAAACAGGUCUGUGAUGCCCUUAGAUGUUCUGGGCCGCACGCGCGCUACAAUGGGAGGGAUAGCGAGCUUGUUGCCGGGGCCUUGGCGCGAAAGUGUUGGGGUCUUGGUGCCUGGUCCGAGAGGGCUGGGGAAACUGGCAAGACCUUCUGUGACUGGGAUUGGUCUCUGUAAUUAUGGGCCAUGAACGAGGAAUUCCUUGUAAACGCACGUCAUCAACGUGCAUUGAAUACGUCCCUGCCCUUUGUACACACCGCCCGUCGCUUCUACCGAUUGGAUGAAUAGGUGAGUGUUCUGGAGGUCUGGCCGUUGUUGGGCAACUGACGGGGUUGGGCUGAGGAUGUGCAAAUCUGUUUAUCUAGAGGAAGAAGGAGUCGU